rnacentral:pre_miRNA from 12 species
CCAUACAUACCUAUAUAUAUGUGUGUGUGUGUGUGUACAUAUAUAUACACACACAUUUAUAUAGGUAUGCAUGGU